rnacentral:rRNA from 1 species
CAGCCGCGGUAAUACGGAGGGCGCGAGCGUUACCCGGAUUUACUGGGCGUAAAUGGCGUGUAGGCGGCCUGGGGCGUCCCAUGUGAAAGGCCACGGCUCAACCGUGGAGGAGCGUGGGAUACGCUCAGGCUAGAGGGUGGGAGAGGGUGGUGGAAUUCCCGGAGUAGCGGUGAAAUGCGCAGAUACCGGGAGGAACGCCGAUGGCGAAGGCAGCCACCUGGUCCACUUCUGACGCUGAGGCGCGAAAGCGUGGGGAGCAAACAGGAUUAGAUACCCCCGUAGUCCCUGUCUCUUAUACACA